GAUGAACGCUAGCGGCAGGCUUAACACAUGCAAGUCGAGGGGUAUCACGCUUUCGGGCGUGAGAGACCGGCGCACGGGUGCGUAACGCGUAUGCAAUCUACCUUUUGCAGAGGGAUAGCCCAGAGAAAUUUGGAUUAAUACCUCAUAGUAUAGAACAAUCGCAUGAUUGAGCUAUUAAAGUCACAACGGCAAAAGAUGAGCAUGCGUCCCAUUAGUUAGUUGGUAAGGUAACGGCUUACCAAGACUACGAUGGGUAGGGGUCCUGAGAGGGAGAUCCCCCACACUGGUACUGAGACACGGACCAGACUCCUACGGGAGGCAGCAGUGAGGAAUAUUGGACAAUGGGCGCAAGCCUGAUCCAGCCAUGCCGCGUGCAGGAUGACGGUCCUAUGGAUUGUAAACUGCUUUGUACAGGAAGAAACACUCCUCGUGAGGGAGCUUGACGGUACUGUAAGAAUAAGGAUCGGCUAACUACGUG
rnacentral:rRNA from 1 species